UGAGCCGCAAAGAGGGGGACCUCGAAGAAAGCAGCACCUUCCGCUCCCGCCGAGUCAGCUGCCACCUUCUCUGUGUCCCUGUGUCCUCCUGCUCUGCCCUGCCCUCAGCCAGCUGCCAUCUUCUCUGUGUCCCCGUGUCCUCCUGCUCUGCCCUGCCCUCGCCAGCUGAUACCUUCUCUGUGUCCCUGUGUCCUCCCGCUCUGCCCUGCCCUCCAGGGACAGAAGCCCUCGAGGUUCUGGCUGGGCCCACGUGCUGAGAUGCCUCUGAGAAAGCUGUCUUUCCAUGGUGGAUCCCGCUGGAUGCCCGUGAACACGGGGCCAGCUUGCAGAGAGCUGGAAGGAGGCCUCCUGGCGGCACCCAGGCCUGACACAGGAUGGCACAGCAGAUGCAACCGUGGGCCUGGGGCCUGGGGUUCCUGGUUGGUGGCCAGGAGAGGCGGCCAGAAGACUCCAUGGCUCCCAGGGCCCAGUCGCAGCUGAGAGGCUCCCCGUCACGAUGGCCAAUAGCCCUUUCUCCAAGGACAAGGAUGGGGUGAUGGCACAACAUGUGUGGGUCGAGCACACCUACCCAUGUGCACACAUGGGUGUGCAUGUCCUGCUGGUGGCUGACCCGUGACCCUGCAUGCGUGUCCUGCGGGUGGCUGACCCGUGACCCUGCAUGCGUGUCCUGCUGGUGGCUGACCCGUGACCCUGCAUGCGUGUCCUGCUGGUGGCUGACCCGUGACCCUGCAUGCGUGUCCUGCGGGUGGCUGACCCCUGACCCUGCAUGCGUGUCCUGCGGGUGGCUGACCCGUGACCCUGCAUGCGUGUCCUGCGGGUGGCUGACCCGUGACCCUGCAUGCGUGUCCUGCGGGUGGCUGACCCGUGACCCUGCAUGCGUGUCCUGUGGGUGGCUGACCCGUGACCCUGCAUGCGUGUCCUGCUGGUGGCUGACCCGUGACCUUGCAUGCGUGUCCUGCGGGUGGGUGACCUGUGACCCUACAAGCAUGUCCUGCUCACGGGCACACCGUCUGCCUGUGCACAGGCCUCUGCCUGCCCACCUGGCGGAGUCCUGCCUGGAUGCUUUAGCGUCUCCAGCCUCUGUGCGCUUUGCUUCUUUGCUCGGAUUUCAUUUCUGAUUGCGGAAUUUUACUCUCAAACCAAAAGAUGCUACAUGCCGCUCCUGACGCCGUGGCACGGAAUCACGCUGCGCGUCCCUUGUUUCCGGAUUUCUCUUCUGUGGCUUAUUGAUGGCACUCAAGCACCGCACAGCAAUGACGUCUGUCCUGGCAGGGCACACGCACUCUGCGUCUGAAUGAGUAUUGAGCUAAUUCCAAAGCCCAGCAGAGACGUGGGCGCGCGUUUAUCUGGAGGAGACCAGGCGCGCCAUGGUUGGCUCUGGCCGCGGGACCCUGGGCUGAGCACCGACCCAGGCCACCCCAAGUCACCAAAAGAGGGUAGGGAGGGGUGGACAAAAGUAUUUAUUUUGCCUAUUUUCUUGCCAGUGUCCAGAUUCAAAUGUACUGUUUUUAAACUACAUUAGCACUUUCUGCCCUGUGGCCUGCAAUGAUUGUGCUGUGAUUAUUCAACACCAUAAAUAAUAAUGCAGC
rnacentral:lncRNA from 1 species